rnacentral:rRNA from 1 species
GGGAAGAUAAUGACGGGACCCCANGAAUAAGGGACGGCUAACUACCUGCCAACAACCCCGGUAAUACCUAGGUCCCGAACCUUGCGCGAAAUUACUGGGCCUAAAGGGUCCCUAAGCUGUCUGGUAAGUGGAAGGUGAAAUCCUACGGCUCAACCGUAAAAUUGCCUUCCAAACUGCUGGACUUGAGGCAGGGAGAGGUCGGCGGAAUUCCCGGUGUANCGGUGAAAUGCGUANAUNUCGGGAGGAACACCAGUGGCGAAGGCGGCCGACUGGAACUGUCCUGACGCUGAAGGACGAAAGCUAGGGGAGCAAACCGGAUUAAAUACCCGGGUAGUCCUANCCGUAAACNAUGGAUGCUAGAUGUGGCCUACNAAAGUAGGCUGUGCCGCAAGCUAACGCG